GGGCAUGUAGCGCAGUGGUAGCGCGUCCGCUUUGCAUUGCGUAGCAGUUGUAUGCGGAAGGUCUAGGGUUCGAUCCCCUACUUGUCCA